GACGAACGCUGGCGGCGUGCUUAACACAUGCAAGUCGAACGAUGAAGCCGGAGCUUGCUCUGGUGAAUUAGUGGCGAACGGGUGAGUAACACGUGAGUAACCUGCCCUUGACUCUGGGAUAACUGCGGGAAACUGUAGCUAAUACCGGAUACGACCCUCGGAGGCAUCUCCUGGGGGUGGAAAGAAUUUCGGUCAAGGAUGGACUCGCGGCCUAUCAGCUAGUUGGUGAGGUAAAGGAAAACCAAGGCGACGAAGGGUAGCCGGCCUGAGCGGGUGACCGUGCACACUGGGAGUGAGACACGGCCCAGACGCCUCCGGGAGGGAGCAGUGGGGAAUAUUGCACAAUGGGCGCAAGCCUGAUGAAGCAACGCCGCGUGAGGGAUGACGGCCUUCGGGUUGUAAACCUCUUUUAGCAGGGAAGAAGCGAAAGUGACGGUACCUGCAGAAAAAGCACCGGCUAACUACGUGCCAGCCGCCGCGGUAA
rnacentral:rRNA from 1 species